UACGUAGGGGGCGAACGUUGUCCGGAUUUACUGGGUGUAAAGGGUGCUCAGGCGGUCUUGUAAGUCAGAGGAGAAAUCUCAAGGCUUAACCUUGAAACUGCCUUUGAUACUGCUGGGCUUGAGUACGGAAGAGGCGGAGGGAAUUCCUGGGGUAGCAGUGAAAUGCGUAGAUAUCAGGAGGAACACCGGUGGCGAAGGCGGUCCGCUGGUCCGUUACUGACGCUCAAGCACGAAAGCGUGGGGAGCAAACAGG
rnacentral:rRNA from 1 species